rnacentral:rRNA from 1 species
CUAGAGGGACAGACGGGGCAUUUGUAUGGCCGGUGUUAGAGGUGAAAUUCUUGGAUCGCCGCCAGACAAACUACAGCGAAAGCAUUUGCCCAGGGAUGUUUUCAUUGAUCUGGAGCGAAAGUCAGAGGUUCGAAGACGAUCAGAUACCGUCCUAGUUCUGACCAUAAACGAUGCCAACUGACGAUCCGUGGUGGUUCUAUUAUUGUCCCCGCGGGCAGUCCCCGGGAAACCUUUAAGUCUUUGGGCUCCGGGGGAAGUAUGGUUGCAAAGCUGAAACUUAAAGGAAUUGACGGAAGGGCACCACCAGGAGUGGAGCCUGCGGCUUAAUUCGACUCAACACGGGAAAACUCACCCGGCCCGGACACUGUGAGGAUUGACAGAUUGAUAGCUCUUUCUUGAUUCGGUGGUUGGUGGUGCAUGGCCGUUCUUAGUUGGUGGAGCGAUUUGUCUGGUUAAUUCCGAUAACGAACGAGACUUUGGCCUGCUAAAUAGUAUGCCUGUCCUCUGUGCUCGCGCAGGAGGCGGCGUUCAUUGCCUUUCCGGUGAUGUUGUCGUUUUCCGGCGGGUGCGGCGCAGGUAUUUACUUCUUAGAGGGACAAGCGGCGUGACAGUCGCACGAAAAUGAGCAAUAACAGGUCUGUGAUGCCCUUAGAUGUCCGGGGCCGCACGUGCGCUACAAUGACGGUUUCAGCGAGUUUGGGAUCCUGGCCCGAAAGGGUUGGGCAAACUGAACCAUCACCGUCGUGACUGGGAUCGGGGCUUGCAAUUGUUCCCCGUGAACGAGGAAUUCCUGGUAAGUGCAAGUCAUAAGCUUGCGCUGAUUACGUCCCUGCCCUUUGUACACACCGCCCGUCGCUACUACCGAUUGAAUGGUUUAGCAAGGUCCUCGGAUUGGUGCCAUUGUAGUUGCUCACGCGACUCGAACGGUGCUGAAAAGACGACCAAACUGAU